CAUUGUUUUUGUCAUCCAAAAAGGUUCCCCUUUUUGAGUAAUAUUUACUUGAAAAAUCAAAAAACAAUAGAUAAAAGCAUGAAUGACCUCAUAUAACAUUUAUAUUUAUAUUCACAGGUUCCAUUUGUAACAGAAUAUUCUGGCCCAUCCAUCCCCAGAGCACCAACCAGGACCCCCAACAGGACCAAGGAUCUAUCCAUGUUCAGUCUCCUGAUGCUGGGUAUACAUCUCUGCUGCAUGGUGAUCUUAACAUAUAUCAUUUCAUCAAGUCGAAAUUAUAAUGUAAUGUCAUGUAUAUAUCAGGAAUGUGUUGGAGGCA